rnacentral:rRNA from 1 species
CGCUGGCGGCGUGCCUAACACAUGCAAGUCGAACGAGGUCCAUGCAGUGGCAACACUGCGGAAGACCUAGUGGCGAACGGGUGAGUAACACGUGAGGAACCUGCCCCGAAGACCGGGAUAACCCUCCGAAAGGAGAGCUAAUACCGGAUACCCCACCGGAUCGCAUGAUCUGGUGAGGAAAUGGAUUCCGCUUCGGGAGGGCCUCGCGGCCUAUCAGCUAGUUGGUGGGGUAACGGCCCACCAAGGCAUCGACGGGUAGCUGGUCUGAGAGGACGAUCAGCCACACUGGGACUGAGACACGGCCCAGACUCCUACGGGAGGCAGCAGUGGGGAAUCUUGCGCAAUGGGCGAAAGCCUGACGCAGCAACGCCGCGUGGGGAUGAAGGCUCUCGGGUUGUAAACCCCUUUCAGCAGGGACGAAUCAAGACGGUACCUGCAGAAGAAGCCCCGGCUAACUACGUG